AAAGUGGUGGGACUCUUGUCGCGGCCGUGGAGACUAGAAGGACUCCGGAUUCGGCUCGGCACUCGCCCUCGCUUCGCCAUGGAGAAGACCGAGCUGAUCCAGAAGGCCAAGCUGGCCGAGCAGGCCGAGCGCUACGACGACACGGCCACCUGCAUGAAAGCCGUGACAGAACAGGGCGCCGAGCUGUCCAACGAGGAGCGCAACCUGCUGUCGGUGGCCUACAAAAACGUGGUCCACCUGGAGGGUCAUCUCGAGCAUCGAGCAGAAGACCGACACCUUUGACAAGAAGUUGCAGCUGAUCAAGGACUACCAGGACAAAGUGGAGUUGGAGCUGAGGUCCAUCUGCACCACGGUCCUGGAAUUGUUGGAUAAAUAUUUAAUAGCCAAUGCAACUAAUCCAGAGAGUAAGGUCUUCUAUCCGAAGGGGAAGGGAGAUUAUUUCCGGUAUCUUGCUGAAGUAGCAUGUGGUGAUGAUCGAAAACAAACGAUAGAUAAUUCCCAAGUAGCCUACCAAGAGGCCUUUGAUAUAAGCAAGAAAGAGAUGCAGCCUACACACCCAAUCCACCUGGGACUGGCUCUUCUCUGUAUUUUACUAUGAGAUCCUUAAUAAUCCAGAGCUUUGCCUGCACAUUGGCCAAAACGGCUUUUGACAAGGCUGUCACACGCUGAAUGAAGACUCCUACAAAGACAGCACCCCUCAUCAUGCAGUUGCCUAGAGACAACUUAACAUUAUGGACAUCGGACAGUGCAGGAGAAGAAUGUGACGAAGCGGAGGGGGCCGAAAACUAAGGGCACCCGGUGCGGUCCUCCGUCCCUCAAGAAAACCUUUUUACAUCUCCAUUCCUUUCCACUUGGAUUUCCUCUAGCAAGGAAGCCCAUCCAUGUGUAUGGGAUCAACUGUUUAUAGUCUUUUCACACUGCAGCUUUGGGAAAACUCCAUCCCUUGAUCUGUGUUGUCCCGGCCUUCCUGGUGUGCAGUUACUGCUGUAGAAAAGUAUCAGUAGCUUCAUUUCAUACACACGUGAGUAACUUCCAACCCUUGUGCAGAGGACUGACAGUGCAUUUGGUGUUUAAGUAAUCUGAACCAGUUCUGCAAGUGGCUGCAUCUGUAUUACUGUGAAGAUACGGAAAUGUGGUGCAUUACAAUUGAAAGUAAUUGUAAUAAUAACUUCCUGAUUUCUACAUUCCCUCUCUGACCCUUCUUGGGGGGUUUCCUUUCAGAAGCGGCUUUUCCAUACUCUUACUGCAUACUCCUUUUUAGUAGGAAUCCAGAAGUGUUAGAUUGAACAGGAAAAGCUCUUAAUGCAUCCAGUCUGGAAGUCACAGAUGGAAAUGUCUCCCAUGUCACAUAUUCUGGGGGUCAUGUUUGUCUGUGACAACAGGGAGUUUCCUUCAUGCAUUCUUCAUUUGCUGCUGUUUGAGUUGACAAGUUCCUUCCCAAUAAAAACCACUUACACCUCC